UGGACUUUCAUGAUUUUGUGCCUCCUGAAAGACCUUUACAUAGAAGCCAAGCUGCCACCGCAGAGAGCUCUUUAAGAGCCACGCUGCCACUACCGAAACAGCCACGUGCUUUUCUCCUCACACACUGGGCCACCAGUGAGAAGCCGUUAACCAGCUGGAGGAAGAUGCGUUUCUGGAGGGUAUUUUGAAGGAAUUAAAUAUCCCAGUGUUUGGCAGUAAAUAGAUGAGAGCUUCCACCAGCCCCAGCGGCGUGACAGGGCCGUGCUGAGGAGGGCGCCACCGCUGAGGGACGCCACCGAAGAUGGCUGCCGGCCCUGCCCCGGUGCGGGCAGCUCACAGCUGCGCUGCCUUGGGCCUGGCCCCUCCUGGCGGGCUGGUGACGAUGACAUGGGAGGCAGCUGCUGACUGUCACCAUCUCUCGCUGUGAGGAUGGGAUGACAGCCAGGAAAUUAUUACAGCGCAAUUUAAAGACCAUAAAAUAUAAGAUGAGCAGAUGGCAGGUCGCGUCUCCUCUCCAUGAACAGCCUAUGUCACCGUGGCACUACUUCAGCGCAUGCUGAGCCGCACUCGCAAAGUCCAAACAAGAGCCGUCACCGGCGGAGAUGUCUGUCAGAGCACCGUCCCAGCAGCACAGACCUUACGACUGUGACAAAGAAUCUGGGCAUUGGCAAGGAGCUUUAGCAACAAUGAGCUUUAAAUACCUGCUGCUAAGAUAAUCACAAUAAUCUGUCUGCCAGCUUUUUCCUAAUGUGCAUUUUCUAAUUCAUUGUGGGAGGCAAAAUCCUCUGACCGGUGGAAUGAAGACGUGGCGCUGUGACUGUAAUUUAAAUUGUUAAACAACUGGAAGGAGCCGCUAUCAACCAGAAAUCCUACCCAAAGAAGAAUAGCAGCCUUCACAGAUUAAUUUUUAAAAACAACAACUAGAAUUUAGUCUUUUCAUAGAAAGGGAUCCUUGAUUCUUUGCAAGGGAUCCUCAGUUCUGUGCAAGGGAUUAAAAAAGCACCCAUCCCAGUUUCAGGAUUUGCUGGUUCUGUUCCCCUUCUGAUCUUUCUGAGUCUACCCUUGGAGAUGGGUUCUUACACUUUUUCUCUCCGUUCCCUCUCCAUGCACUGCUGUAGUCUGUGGGGAUGGGAUGCUGAAAUCGCUGGUACGGUCACUCCAAUGUCCCAGACAGGAUGUUCUCAAGCAAGUUAUUUCUCUUCCAUUGAAAUGGGAAAAACAAACAAAGGUCUGUCAUGUAUUGGUCCUUGCUGCAGCAGCUGAGCUGAUCCCCUUAUCCUUUCAGCAUGAAUUACGAGAAGGCUCUGCUCCUAUGCACAGCACUUUGCUGAAGAAGGCUGUAUGUUUCCUAUUCAUCACCAGCACAACUUGGUGCACAGGGACACACCAUUGUGUAGAAAAUGUCUUUUUUUUUUUAGUAUUAGUAGAACAAAAACUGAAGAGCGAUCUGGGAUAUGAUAUCCAGCUAAUAAUAUGAUAGGAAUGUGUCUCCUCAAAAAAACAAAAGAGGGAAGGGUUCUGGCUAAAGGAGCCACACAGCUGUAACAGCAGGGCCAACAGGUUUCCAUCUUGUGUACAGCUCCCCUGGUACUGGGACAUCUCUCUUCUCAUGGAGCUGCAGGAUUUAUGUGUCAGCGAUUCAUCUGGGAGAUGGCAGCCCUGCAGCAGAGCCUGGUUGAAGAGGAGAGGGAGAACAGGAGGUAUGCAGCUCAUAGUCACCAUGGGCACAGUCCCAGGCAUUUUACAAUCAGAUAUGUCAGUAUUUUUUUGGAGUGAAAUCUUCUUGAAUUUUUCUUUUACUGCAUAUUCUGUACUCUCAUUCAAUUUCAAAUGGAAACAAAUAUCAAUAUGUCAUACAUCCUGU